GAUCGUUAGAUAAGAAAAUACAACAUUAAAAGAAAAGCGGCAUUGUAAAUUUAAGGUUAUGCGUCACAUCAAAAUUGUUUUAAAGAUAUCAAAUAAAAAAAAGAAAAACACAUCUAUUAGAUAAAAAAAUGAAGUAUUGAUAGUUUUUGACCUCAUGACCUAUUACCAAGACAGCUGAAUCAAUAACUUACAAUUAAGAUUCACAAGUAAAGUUUGGAGUGAGAAACAUUAAUGUUCCGUGACCAAAAUGAAAGAGAGGAUUGAAAAAUGAAUAAAAAUUAUAUUGAAACAAAAAAAAAACUUUAAUCAUCAUCAAUAGGUGUUUUGUUUACUUUUUUCCGCUUUUUUCGAUUCCAUUCAUAUUGAUUGACGUUACCAAAAAUUGUAUAUGUUGUCGGUAUGUUACCAGUAGCAACGUGUUCGACCUGAACGUCAAAACAAUCACUGGCUGCAGCAUAUCAUAUCAUACAAGUACAAAAAUGAGCUUAAAAGAAGUGAUGAAAAAAUAUAAAGAUGAAGAAGACUUCCUUAAUUGUAAAUUACAAAUGAUCUUAAAAAACGAUACACAUUUAGAAAAAGAGGAAUAUUGCAUCAAUACUAGCAAACGAGAAAGAUCUCAUCUUCAUUCUCUUCAAUGGAUUAAAAACAGAAAUACAUACAUUCUCAAAGAAACUGAAAUGAGCCGUGCGAGAAUUCGUUCACUUUCUUUAUAUAGUCCCUUGGAGUCGGUUUUACAAAAAGCAAUUUUCGACUUUAUAUUAAUGAAUAGAAAUUUAAAUUCGACUAGACCAAUGAAAGGAAAACACGAAUAAAAUAAUAUUUUGUUUUUAAUUUA